GAUGAAGAACGUAGCGAAAUGCGAUAAGUAAUGUGAAUUGCAGAAUUCAGUGAAUCAUCGAAUCUUUGAACGCACAUUGCGCCCGCCAGUAUUCUGGCGGGCAUGCCUGUUCGAGCGUCAUUUCAACCAUCAAGCCCCCGGCUUGUGUUGGGGACCUGCGGCUGCCGCAGGCCCUGAAAACUAGUGGCGGGCUCGCUAGUCACUCCGAGCGUAGUAAUACAUCUCGCUCAGGGCGUGCUGCGGGUUCCGGCCGUUAAAAAGCCUUAUUUACCCAAGGUUGACCUCGGAUCAGGUAGGAAGACCCGCUGAACUUAAGCAUAUCAAUAAGCGGAGGA
rnacentral:misc_RNA from 1 species